UUGAUAAGACACAAACCGCCCACCCCUAUUGCACUCGACUUUCAGUACAUUGUGCUGCUUGGGUACCUUCCACUCAGCCUAGGCGUGCGCAGUCUGCGCAGUGCUGAGUCGUAAAGUUAUCCGAGGUGGCGAGAUGGUGAACCAAAACACCAGGUUCUCGACCGGGUCUGGAAACUGGAACCCCAGACCUCGACACGCACAGCUGCGAACGUCUACUGGAGGAACUCUUCGCUUCUGAGUCCGCAAGAUGAGAGACAGAAGCGGAAUAAAUCAAAUAAUUAGGCCUACAAUAGCUUCCCAUUCGCUAUUCAACGGGAUGUUUCAUGAGGCGACUUGAACGGCAUACGCAUUGUGGUUACAUGAACAUUGGUGCAGGCGUUAGUCACAAAUCACCCCUGUGGUUCCCUUCCAGCUACUUCACCUUGCAUUGAUGCCAUGCACCACCUCUGACUAACUCAGCCGUGAGCUUGGAAAUAGGAUCCUCCAUCGAAGGAUCCAAGGCGAAAGUCCACACAGCCAAAGAUUGAAUGCACAUUUUCAUGCACUCCUCGACCCAGAACAGCUCAAGACGAAAACUGGAAACUACUCGAGAGCCCUCCACUCACAAAUUGGUGCAAGGACCUGCUAAUUAAGCUUGGAAUGGAAGCUUUCAAGCUUGCAAUCCCCUCCACAACGUCGCAUCCGACUGUGGCGCCAUCUAAUGGAAGUAGCGGAAACACAGGUUUCCAGCUGCUUAUGGUUCCUUUUUAUUGGGCGGGUCAUUCUGAGGACCUCUACCCGCAAUGACGGUAGAGGGGUACGUGCUUUCGUCUGUCUACCAGACCAAGAGUAAAAAGAAAGAAAAGGAGAGCGGCCACUCUUACUGGAUUACGCUUACAAGGUCUUCACUGGAUUUCACUACUCUUACUCGACUUCACUGGAUUGCACUUCACGUAGAACAAGUCAUCGUUGAGCGUGAACCUCUUGCGCAAUGUGCCGCUCAUUCCCGGAAUCCUUGGCAUUUCGUUGUUGACACCCGCCGUUACACUCGAAGCAGGAACAGGGAAUGGGAACCCGUUUCAGCUGCCAUGAGUCGUUUUGGUAGGUAUACAUUGGAAAGUAUUUUCCACGCCUAAAAUCACCAUGCAAAGUAUUUCAAUAAAAAUCGCAGGGCUGCACUGUAUUGCAGCCACAAUUAUAAAUUUUUGGGUAGAACUGCAGGGGCAGAGAUGUUUUUAGUCGCACAUGUAUACAACAGCGAAUAGAACAAUUUUACUGCAAGGGUUGAACAUUUAUACUGUGUGGAUAUACUGGGUCCUACUGUAGAGGCAGAACGGUUGGACCAUUUGCUGCUUGAAUGUUAUAUGCUGUUGUGGCUCAACAGUUGUACUACAAAGGUCUACCUGCUGUACACCAUACAGUAGAAAAUAAAAAAUGUACCACACACCCCGUA